rnacentral:rRNA from 1 species
GACGAACGCUGGCGGCGUGCCUAAUACAUGCAAGUCGAGCGAGUCUGCCUUGAAGAUCGGAGUGCUUGCACUCUGUGAAACAAGAUACAGGCUAGCGGCGGACGGGUGAGUAACACGUGGGUAACCUGCCCAAGAGAUCUGGAUAACACCUGGAAACAGAUGCUAAUACCGGAUAACAACAGAUGAUGCCCAUCAACUGUUUAAAAGAUGGUUCUGCUAUCACUCUUGGAUGGACCUGCGGUGCAUUAGCUAGUUGGUAGGGUAACGGCCUACCAAGGCGAUGAUGCAUAGCUGAGUUGAGAGACUGAUCGGCCACAUUGGGACUGAGACACGGCCCAAACUCCUACGGGAGGCAGCAGUAGGGAAUCUUCCACAAUGGACGCAAGUCUGAUGGAGCAACGCCGCGUGAGUGAAGAAGGGUUUCGGAUCGUAAAGCUCUGAUGUUGGUGAAGAAGGACAGGGGUAGUAACUGACCUUUGUUUGACGGUAAUCAAUGAGAAAGUCACGGCUAACUACGUG